rnacentral:rRNA from 1 species
UACGGGGGGAGCAAGCGUUGUUCGGAUUUACUGGGCGUAAAGGGCGCGUAGGCGGCCAGUGCAAGUCAGUUGUGAAAUCUCCGAGCUUAACUCGGAAAGGUCAACUGAUACUGCUCGGCUAGAGUGCGGAAGGGGCAACUGGAAUUCUUGGUGUAGCGGUGAAAUGCGUAGAUAUCAAGAGGAACCCCUGCGGCGAAGGCGGGUUGCUGGGCCGACACUGGCGCUGAAGCGCGAAAGCGUGGGGAGCAAACAGG